ensembl:snRNA U6 U6 spliceosomal RNA
GUGCUCACUUCGGCAGCACAUAUACUAAAAUUGGAACGAUACAGAGAAGAUUAGCAUGGCCCCUGCGCAAGGAUGAAAUGAAUAUAAGGAUCACUCUGGCUGGUACUU